CAAAGAAUCAAGUUAUUUUUGUUUUCUCUUAGCUAGCUAUGUAUGCUGGACUGUGAGGUAGAAGGCAAGCUGGACAGUUCUGUCAACUUGAGCCAGGGGGGAGGAAUAAAGUCCUUACAGAAGGGGCUCUUCCAAAGCUGUGCGCAAUCCACCUGGGCUCAAGCUCAGUCUAGAAAUAUGGAAAAAUUUACAUCCCUCAGGAAGACCUUCAAAUGGCAGAGAGGCCCAAUGGAAAAUGUCUCCUAUUCAUCAGGUGAGCAAUUUAUGUAGGUUUUCUGCAUGUUUCCUAAGUGGUCCUGGAAGCACUUACAUCAGCAAACUUGCUGUCAUCUCUCUCCUGCAUUGGCUUUUCCUCUUUCCCUGUCUCACUCUCAUUGUUUCCUUACUUUUAAUACAAUAACCUCCCACAAAUUCUUGUCACUGGUUCUAUUUUUAAGGGAUCCUAAGUCAAAAUUCUAGGCCAUUGUCCUAUCGUUAAUAUGUCU
rnacentral:lncRNA from 1 species